UCAGGAUGAACGCUGGCGGCGUGCUUAACACAUNCAAGUCGAACGAUGAUCNCCAGCUUGCUGGGGGGAUUAGUGGCGAACGGGUGAGUAACACGUGAGUAACCUNCCCUUAACUCUGGGAUAAGCCUGGGAAACUGGGUNUAAUACCGGAUAUGACUCCUCAUCGCAUGGUGGGGGGUGGAAAGCUUUUGUGGUUUUGGAUGGACUCGCGGCCUAUCAGCUUGUUGGUGAGGUAAUGGCUCACCAAGGCGACGACGGGUAGCCGGCCUGAGAGGGUGACCGGCCACACUGGGACUGAGACACGGCCCAGACUCCUACGGGAGGCAGCAGUGGGGAAUAUUGCACAAUGGGCGGAAGCCUGAUGCAGCGACGCCGCGUGAGGGAUGACGGCCUUCGGGUUGUAAACCUCUUUCAGUAGGGAAGAAGCGAAAGUGACGGUACCUGCAGAG
rnacentral:rRNA from 1 species